GGCUAAUAAUGUUAUUUUGAGAGCGGGAGAGUUGUGCUCCUUUCAUUUCAUUGGCAGACAAACUCAUAAACUCGAAAGUGAUGGUGAUGAUAUCGAUGAUAUUUUUUUUAAUAUAAGAAUUUUUUUCGCAGCCAAACACCGCACGCCGGAAAUCCGGCACGGUGCCGGAAUACUUUAAUCCCUGAGUUCAACAUAAUUUAGACAAAAAUAUACUUUCGUUAAAACUUACUGAAAACAGAAUAGCAUUCUAAUUCGGCAUUAGUCCACCGACACACACACACACACACACACACACACACACAGAGGACACAGACUACUUUUAACAGAUAAAGAUACAGAUUCUUUAUUUGAUUUAAAACCACGGUUAGCAGCAGAAGCCUUUUGCUCUGUGUUUGACUCAUAAGCCUCCUGUUGCUGUGUGUUUGACUCAUAAGCCUGUUGUUGCUCUGUGUUGGACUCAGAUGGACUCCACUCUGUGUUUGACUCAGAAGCCUGUUGCUCUGUGUUUGACUCAUAAGCCUGUUGUUGCUCUGUGAUUGACUCAUAAGCCUGUUGUUGCUCUGUGUUUGACUCAAGAUGGACUCCACUCUGUGUUUGACUCAUAAGCCUGUUGCUCUGUGUUUGACUCAUAAGCCUGUUGUUGCUCUGUGUUUGACUCAGAUGGACUCCACUCUGUGUUUGACUCAUAAGCCUGUUGCUCUGUGUUUGACUCAGAAGCCUCCUGUUGCUCUGUGUUUGACUCACAAGCCUGUUGCUCUGUGUGUUGCUCUGUGUUUGAUAGAUAAGCCUGUUGCUCUGUGUUUGACUCAGAAGCCUGUUGCUCUGUGUUUGAUAGAUAAGCCUGUUGCU
ensembl:lncRNA